rnacentral:tRNA from 1 species
GGGAAGGUGGCUCAGUGGUAGAGUGUUUGCCUUGCAUGCAUGAGACCCUAGGUUCAAUUCCUCAGUACCA